UCAAGCACGCAUCCCUUCCUCACAUCAACACAACUCCCCGUGUCCUUGCAGCUGCCGUCCGCCUCAUCUAUCAUCGCGCAUCUCCUCCAUCGUGCAUGGUCACGCCUUCAUCUUUUCCUCUCGGGCAUUCUCCCGGUGUCAGCGAUCCUGCAUGCAUGCCUCUACUUGUCCGCUAAAAGACUAAGCGCCCUCUGCCUCUCCAACUCGCGCCUAUCACCAUCGAGGACGGCGUGAACGGUGGAGUCGUGCAUGUGUCGGGGCACUGCCUCGUGGAGCUGCUGCAGGCCUGCCACGGGUCAGGCGUCGAGCAGCACACAUGGCUCCACAAUGGCUAUAGUGAGUGCGGACGCCCAGAUCUGUGCCGCAGAGGUGGCUGCCCAAGGACCAGAUCAGCCGCAAGGAUCUGAACAUUCUCUUUAUUAGAUGGACCCAAAAAGUACAGCUGGCCGUGAAGGGCGAGGAGGAUCGAUCGGUGCGUCACUGUCUCUAAACUUUUUUGAAUGGCGUUCUUUGUCGCAGGAGACGGGAACAUCACUGUGACCUAAAGCUAUGACAUGAGCAUGCAUGUGCCUUGCAACAAACUGCACCUAGACUCCUAUGAGGUUAAAAUCGACCCAAAGUACUGUCCUUGACUUCAUAUUCGGACCCUGGAAUCAAGACGAGAAGAAAAUCUAACUGGUGAAGAUCUACAACUCGACAUUAUUGAAGGGUAUCUGGGGAAUGAUAAUGCGCCAAGAAUGGUGUUAAUGUUCCCAAGGAAGAAUUGAUCCAUAUGACCUUUUUAAUAUAAUAGCUUACUGUAUAUGUUGGAACUGAACUCAUGAUGAUAUAUACUUACAUGUAGAAUA